rfam:Nicotiana sylvestris Nsyl_contig52615, whole genome shotgun sequence.
UGUCUGGCAUUGCUAGUGACAGCUGAUGGCUUUUGGCAAUGAACGGUGGAGCAUCGUGCAAGUAACGCCACAAGGUGUCAUACGCAUUGGGGCUAAGAUCCGUACAUGUAGAUUGACAUCGGUUGCUGUGAGCAACAAUGGAAUGAGUACAAUCAAAGUCCCUUAAUGAGGAUUCACUGGAGGGCAAGUAUGGUGCCAGCAACCGUAGUAAUUCCAUCUCCAAUAGCAUAUAUUUAAGCUGUUGCAGUUAAAAAGCUUGUAGUUAGACUUUUGGAUGGGUCGACCGGUCCGCCUUAGGUGUGCACCGGUCGUUUCGUCCCUUCUGCGGGCGAUGCACUCCUGACCUUAAUUGGUCGGGUCGUGCCUUCGGCGCUGUUACUUUGAAGAAAUUAGAGUGCUCAAAGCAAGCUUGCGCUCUGUAUACAUUAGCAUGGGAUAACAUUAUAGGAUUUUAGUCCUAUUACGUUGGCCGUCGGGAUUAGAGUAAUGAUUAAUAGGGAUAGUCGGGGGCAUUCGUAUUUCAUAGUCAUAGGUAAAAUACUUGGAUUUAUGAAAGACGAACAAUUAAGAAAGCAUUUUCCAUAGAUGUUUUCAUUAAUCAAGAACGAAAGUUGGGGGCUCGAAGACGAUCAGAUAUCGUCCUAGUCUCAACCAUAAACGAUGACGACCAGGGAUCGACGAAUGUUGCUUUUAGGACUCCACCGACACUUUAUGAGAAAUCAAAGUUUUUGGGUUCGGGGGGUAGUAUGGUUGCAAGGCUAAAACUUAAAGGAAUUGACAGAAGGGCACUACCAGGAGUAGAUCAUGCGGUUUAAUUUGACUCAACACGAGGAAACUUACCAGGUCCAAACAUAGUAAGGAUUGACAGACUGAGAGCUCUUUCUUUAUUCUAUGGGUGGUGGUGCAUGUCCAUUCUUAGUUGGUGAAGCGAUUUUUUUGGUUAAUUCCGUUAACGAACGAAACCUCGGCCUUCUAACUAGCUAUACAGAGGCAUCCCUUCGCGACCAGCUUCUUAGAGGGACUAUGGCCUUUAAGGCCACGGAAGUUUGAGACAAUAAUAGGUCUGUGAUGCCCUUAGAUAUUCUGGGCCGCACGCAUGCUGCACUGAUAUACUCAACGAGUUUAUAGCGUUGGCCGGCAGACAUGAGUAAUCUUUGCAAUUUCAUCGUGAUAGGGAUAGAUCAUUGCAAUUGUUUGUCUUUAACGAGGAAUUCCUAGUAAGCGCGAGUCAUCAACUCGCGCUGACUACGUCCCUGCCCUUUGUACAAACCGCUCAUCGCUCCUACCGAUUGAAUGCUUCGGUGAAAUAUUUGGACCACGAUGAUGUUUGAGGUUCAAUUCCUACGACAUUGCUUGAAGUCCAUUGAAACUAAUCAUUUUGACGAAGGAGAAGUCGUAACAAGGUUUUUGUAGGUAAAACUGCGGAAGGAUCAUUG